GUGUGGUUAUUUAAGGGCGUAUGGUGGAUGCCUUGACACAAAACAGCGAUGAAGGACGCGGCGUAGCGGCGAUACGCCUCGGGGAGGUGCGUAGCAACCUUUGAUCCGGGGAUUUCCAAAUGGGGCAACCUGGCACGGCAAACCCGUGUCGUCCGGUCGUAAGACUGGAAGCACACCUGCUGAAGUGAAACAUCUCAGUAAGCAGAGGAAGAGAGAACGAAGUCAUUCCCCAAGUAGCGGCGAGCGAAAAGGGAGAAGCCUAAACCCAUUACCCGCAAGGGUGGUGGGGGUUGUAAGAUAUGUACGCUGCUAAAAAGCGCAGGUCGAUGCGGAGAAGGAAACUUUUCCGUACCGAUCUGUGCUUCAGGCAAGGAAAGGUUACAAAAUCUUUUGCUAGCAGAAUCGGCUGGAAAGCCGAACCAGAGAGGGUGAAAGUCCUGUACGCGAAAGCGAAAGAUCCUUUUAGUAUGUAGUCUUGAGUACUUCGAGUUACGAUAAUCUUGAAGGAAACAUCCCGGACUAUCGGGAAAGGCUAAAUAUGUUUUGUGAUCGAUAGUGAACAAGUACCGUGAGGGAAAGGUGAAAAGCAGCCCUGUUAGGGCGGUGAAAUAGACCUGAAACCGUACGCCUACAAGGAACGGAAGCUCAAAUCUUUGUCCGCAAGGACAAGGGCGAGUAACCGUGUGCCUAUUGAAGAAUGAUCCAACGAGUUUAUGCAUAUCGCGUAGUCUAAUCUGUCUCUGACGGAGAAGGCGCAGGGAAACCUAGUGUUAAUAGCGCGAAAAUCCAGCAAUGGAUUUUGGCGGUAUGUGUAAGACCCGAAGCCAGGCGAGCUUACCUUGACCAGGGUGAACUUCGACGAAAGUCGAAGGGAGGCCCGAACCGGUUGGUCGUGCAACACCUUCGGAUGAGUUGAGGUAAGAAGUGAAAAGCUAAUCGAGCCUGGUAAUAGCUGGUUCUCUUCGAAACAGUUUUAGGACUGGCGUCGCGUGUUUCCUUUUGGGGGUAGAGCACUGGAUGGUCUGUAAAGGGCGAAAGCUCAGCAGACCAAUCAAACUCCGAAUACCAGAAGGUUAAGCGCGGCAGUUAGACUGCGGGGGCUAAGCUCCGUGGUCGAGAGGGAAACAGCCCUGACCGCCAUCUAAGGUCCCUAAAUCUGCGCUAAGUGUAAAAGGUGGUCGUAGACCAUAGACAGGUAGGAGGUUGGCUUAGAGGUAGCCAUCCUUUAAAGAGUGUGUAACAACUCACUACUCGAUGGUAAGCGGCGCCGAAAAUUUACCGGGGCUCAAGCGCAGUACCGAAGAUGCGGAUCGACACUUUCUUUUUGUAUCGGGCGAUUUCAGUUUGGCCUGGUAUAAAGAGAAUGUGUUGGUGGUAGAAGAGCAUUUCCAGUGCGGUGAAGGUCAACCCGGGAGGGUGACUGGAGCGCUGGGAAGAGAGAAUGUUGGAAUGAGUAACCCACUAAGCCGGUGAGAAACCGGCUCCCCGAAAAUCCAAGGUUUCCGUGGCAAUGGCAAUCAGCUACGGGUUAGGCGGCCCUAAGGCGAUGGCGAAAGCCGAAGCUGAUGGACAGCUGGUUAAUAAUCCAGCCCUUCCGUGCAUUUCGAUGGAGGGACGAGGCGCAGUACGCCGAUCAUCUUAUUGGUUUGGUGUUCUUGGCUCGAGGAUGGUGUUUUGGCAAAUCCGGACACCUGCGUUCAAUCGCGAAUCCCAGAGCAAAGGCGAGUCGGAGUUUUUACUCCGGUUAGUCGGCUGAGCGCGUUUCCGAGAAAAACUUCUAAGGUUAAGUGCAUGGAAUCCGUACCGUAAACCGACACUGGUGGAUAGGGCGAGUAGCCCGAGGGGUACGAGUGAUUUCUCGUCAAGGAACUCGGCAAAAAAGCGGCCGUAAGUUAGCGAUAAGGCCUCUCAAUACUUUCUUUUCGCAAGAAAAGAUAGUGCUGGGCGCAGCGAAAGUAUCUCUGGCAACUGUUUACCAAAAACACAGCUCCCUGCGAACUCGCAAGAGGAUGUAUAGGGGGUGACGCCUGACCGAUGCGAGAAGGUUAAGAUUGGCGGUCUGUGGUAGUAAUAUUGCAGGCUGACUGGUUCAAG
rnacentral:rRNA from 1 species